GUUCAGCACUAAGUCACUUUGUCUUUAUGGCAAAUGUGAGAUGCAGUGUAUGGAAUGUCAAAUUUCUAGUAUGAGAAAUUAACGAUUUAAGUCCUUCUUAAAUGAGGCCAUUUACCCAUAGAGGGUGCCAGGCCCGUAUAACGUUAAUGAUUACUAGAUGGCAUUUCCAAAGAGUCGUGUUGCUUGAUAGUGCAGCACUAAGUUGGUGGUAAACUCCAUCUAAAACUAAAUAUAMCCAUGAGACCGAUAGUAAACAAGUACCGUGAGGGAAAGUUGAAAAGAACUCUGAAUAGAGAGUUAAAUAGUACGUGAAACUGCUUAGAGGUUAAGCCCGAUGAACCUGAAUAUCCAUUAUAGAAAAUUCAUCAUUAUGAUUUUAAUAUUAAUAAUAUUAUAAUAAUGGUGUGCAUUUUUUCUAUAACGGACAUUGUAAUCUAUUAACAUAAACCAAAUUUAUCAUAAGAUCAAUGAUGCGUAAGUUUAUUCAAAUUAUUUUGCUUGCAAUUUAACAUAGAAUAAAUGCUCUUGAUUUGAUAAAGUGUUGAUAGAUUUAUUAUAUAUAGUGCUUAAAUAUUUAUAUUUUAUAAUAGCAUAUUAAUCAUUGAUUUUUAUGUUUAUUAUAUGCACUUAUAUGAU
rnacentral:rRNA from 1 species